CAGCAGUGGGGAAUAUUGCACAAUGGGCGCAAGCCUGAUGCAGCCAUGCCGCGUGUGUGAAGAAGGCCUUCGGGUUGUAAAGCACUUUCAGUUGUGAGGAAGGUGGUGUCGUUAAUAGCGGCAUCAUUUGACGUUAGCAACAGAAGAAGCACCGGCUAACUCCGUGCCAGCAGCCGCGGUAAUACGGAGGGUGCGAGCGUUAAUCGGAAUUACUGGGCGUAAAGCGCAUGCAGGUGGUUUGUUAAGUCAGAUGUGAAAGCCCGGGGCUCAACUUCGGAACUGCAUUUGAAACUGGCAGACUAGAGUACUGUAGAGGGGGGUAGAAUUUUCAGGUGUAGCGGUGAAAUGCGUAGAGAUCUGAAGGAAUACCGGUGGCGAAGGCGGCCCCCUGGACAGAUACUGACACUCAGAUGCGAAAGCGUGGGGAGCAAACAGGAUUAGAUACCCUGGUAG
rnacentral:rRNA from 1 species